rnacentral:rRNA from 1 species
GACGAACGCUGGCGGCGUGCUUAACACAUGCAAGUCGAGCGGAGCGGCGAACGGGUGAGUAUCGCGUGAGUAACUGCCCCCCUCUCUGUGAUAACAGUUGGAAACGGCUGCUAAUACCGGAUAUUGGGGGAUGACUCUCUUCCUAUCAGCUUGUUGGUGGUGUAGUGGCCUACCAAGGCGACGACGGGUAGCCGGCCUGUGAGGGCGACCGGCCACAUGGGGCGGAGAUAGGGCCCAAACUCGUACGGGAGGCAGCAGUGGGGAAGAUUGCACAAUGGGGGAAACCCGGAUGCAGCAACGCGCGUGCGGGAUGACGGCCUUCGGGUUGGAAACCGCUUUCAGCCAUGACGCGGUAGUGGCAGAAGAAGCACCGGCUAACUACGUGCCAGCAGCCGAGGUAAUUC